rnacentral:lncRNA from 1 species
AUGUUUGAUCACUACACCAAGAGUACCACUUACAAGUUGUUUUUCUGUCCAAAGACUAAAAUCAAUGUUGUGCUAGGUAUCUUGUAAUGGGAUAUGCCAAUUUUGAAUCUAUAAAGUAAAGUUAAAGUUCAAGUAAUUGUAAGCAUGUAAUCAGUAAUCCUUUUGUUCUAUUUUCAGUUAAUUCUUCUGCUUCUACGAUCUCUGCCAUAUCAAUAGCAUCCAUGUGCUUAACGGCACAAACUUUAAGGAAUGGAAAGAGAACGUCAUG